rnacentral:lncRNA from 1 species
GGAGGCCCAGAGGCCCUGGGAUGAGGAACAGUGGCAGCUUCUGCAGAGGCUUCGGCACUGGCAUCUGGGGCUGAGGUCACGGCCAGGGUUGGAGCCAGGGGCAUGAGAGCUCCAAGGCUAUGGAGCUCUCAGAGGCAAGGCUGAGGAUAAGGAGUGGAUGCCCGUCACCAAGCUGGGCCGUCUGGUCAAGGACAUGAAGAUCAAGUCCCUGGAGGAGGUCUAUCUCUUCUCCCUGCCCCUCAAGGAGUCUGAUAUCAUUUACUUUUUCCCUGGGGUCUUCUCUCAAGGAUGAGGUUUUGAAGAUCAUGCCAGUGCAGAAGCCGACCUGCGCUGGCCAGUACACCAGGUUCAAGUCAUUUGUUGCCACUCGACUACAAUGGCCACCUCAUUCUGGGUGUUAAGUACUUCAAGAGGUGGCCACUGCCAUCCAAGGGGCCAUCAACUCUCCACGGUCCCUGGGCACAGAGGCUACUGGGGGAACAAUAUCGGCAAGCCCCACAGUGUCCCUUGCAAGGUGACAGGCCACCAUGGCUCUGUGCUAGUGCACCUUAACCCUGUGCCCAAGGGCGCUGGCAUCGUCUCCCCCGUGAUGCCCGGUGCCCAGGAAGGUGCUGAUGAUAGCUGGUAUCGAUGACUGCUACACCUUGGCCAGGGGCUGCACUGCCACCCUGGGCAACUUUGCCAAGGCCAGCUUUGAUGUCAUCUCCAAGACCUACAGCUACCUGACCCGACCUCUAGAAGAAUACUGUAUUCACCAAGUCUCUUUACCAGGAAUUCACUCACCAUCUUGUCAAGACCCAGACCAGAGUCUCUGUGCAGAGGACCCAGGCUCCAGCUGUGGCUACAACAUAG